rnacentral:rRNA from 1 species
UGCGUAGGCGGACUAAUAAGUCAGUGGUGAAAUCUCUCGGCUCAACCGGGAAACUGCCAUUGAUACUGUUAGUCUUGAGUUCGGUUGAGGUAGGCGGAAUGUGUAAUGUAGCGGUGAAAUGCUUAGAUAUUACACAGAACACCAAUUGCGUAGGCAGCUUACUAGACCGACACUGACGCUGAGGCACGAAAGCGUGGGCAGCGAACAGGAUUAGAUACCCUGGUAGUCC